rfam:Neolentinus lepideus HHB14362 ss-1 unplaced genomic scaffold NEOLEscaffold_16, whole genome shotgun sequence.
GGACCCUUAGCUCAAUCGGUAGAGCGUUGUACUUAUGUGGAUAUCUUGUUGAGAUGCAGCGGUCCCGAGUUCGAUUCUCGGAGGGUCCA